rnacentral:rRNA from 1 species
CAACAGGGAUUGCCCUAGUAACGGCGAGUGAAGCGGCAACAGCUCAAAUUUGAAAUCUGGCUCUUUCAGAGUCCGAGUUGUAAUUUGCAGAGGGCGCUUUGGCUUUGGCAGCGGUCCAAGUUCCUUGGAACAGGACGUCACAGAGGGUGAGAAUCCCGUACGUGGUCGCUAGCUAUUGCCGUGUAAAGCCCCUUCGACGAGUCGAGUUGUUUGGGAAUGCAGCUCUAAAUGGGAGGUAAAUUUCUUCUAAAGCUAAAUAUUGGCCAGAGACCGAUAGCGCACAAGUAGAGUGAUCGAAAGAUGAAAAGCACUUUGGAAAGAGAGUCAAACAGCACGUGAAAUUGUUGAAAGGGAAGCGCUUGCAGCCAGACUUGCUUGCAGUUGCUCAUCCGGGCUUUUGCCCGGUGCACUCUUCUGUAGGCAGGCCAGCAUCAGUUUGGGCGGUGGGAUAAAGGUCUCUGACACGUUCCUUCCUUCGGGUUGGCCAUAUAGGGGAGACGACAUACCACCAGCCUGGACUGAGGUCCGCGCAUCUGCUAGGAUGCUGGCGUAAUGGCUGUAAGCGGCCCGUCUUGAAACACGGACCAAGGAGUCUAACAUCUAUGCGAGUGUUUGGGUGUCAAGCCCGAACGCGUAAUGAAAGUGAACGGAGGUGGGAACCCGCAAGGGUGCACCAUCGACCGAUCCUGAAGUUUACGGAAGGAUUUGAGUAAGAGCAUGGCUGUUGGGACCCGAAAGAUGGUGAACUAUGCUUGAAUAGGGUGAAGCCAGAGGAAACUCUGGUGGAGGCUCGCAGCGGUUCUGACGUGCAAAUCGAUCGUCAAAUUUGGGCAUAGGGGCGAAAGACUAAUCGAACU